rnacentral:lncRNA from 1 species
UGCGAAAUAUCCCAAAUUCUUUUUCCACUCUAUGGCCAACUGAAUAUUUAUUUCACAAUCCGCAGGUCCAAUUUUUUGGCCACUGACUCUUCAUCGAACCAAUGAAACCUUGAAUAUUUGGUCCUAUGGAUACAUGGAUGCGCAUGACGGUAAAUGAAAUUGGGAAAUAAUUUGCCAUCCCAUUUGACAGCGUGAGAUUUAUUUUUGAUGCUUACCGCAUUUGUAUUCGUCCGAAUGAUCGUAGCAAUUCAUGUGGCCGUCGCAGUGUUUUACUUCAGGUAUGCACAAACCGUUGGAACAAGUCCAUUCGCCCACCAGACAAUGAUGA